ACACCCUUAGCAACUCCAAACCAUUAAUAGGAGAUCAAAAAGAAUGGCAAGAGUGAUAUGCACUAAUUGUAGGGCGAAACUACUGGUGCCAUACGGUGUGUCAAUCAUAAAAUGUCCUUUAUGCUAUUCUACUAUUGUUUUCCAAAACAACAAUGACUACCUUGCCCCAGUAGUAAGCCAAUACAAUGGCUAUGGCAACAGUUACUAUCCCACGGGAUCUGGUAACAGCCAUCACCGCCAACCACCAUUUCCAUCAUAUCAUCUUUCACCACUUUCAGUGCAUGGAAGAAAACGGGCAGUCUUGAUUGGAAUAAGCUACCAUGGCCAGCAGAACAGCAUCAAGGGUAGUGUUAAUGAUGUAAGGAUGAUGAGUUACUUCUUGGUUAAUAGGUUCAGGUUCCCAAAUGAAUCUAUCUUUGUCCUCACAGAAGAAGAGAGAGACCCAUACCGUAUGCCAACUAAGCGUAAUAUUCAGACAGCCUUGCAUUGGCUCAUCCAGAGUUGCCAAUCAGGGGAUUCGUUGGUUCUUUUCUACUCAGGCCAUGGCACAAAAGUGACUGAUAUUAAUAGGGAUGAGAUUGAUGGAUUUGAUGAAGCACUAUGCCCCGUUGAUUUUCAGACUCAAGGAAUGAUACUGGAUGAUGAGAUCAAUGCCACCAUUGUACGGCCACUACCUCAUGGAGUCAGACUCCACGCCAUCAUUGAUACUUGCAACAGUGGAACCUCUCUAGAUCUACCAUUCCUGUGCAGGAUGAACCAGACAGGAUACUACGCAUGGCAGGAUCACCGUGUUUCAUAUGCUUAUAAAGGCACAAGUGGAGGGGUAGCAUUUUGUUUUAGCGCUUGUAAUGAUGAUGAAAACUCCCUAGAUACAACGAAGGGAUGCAAAUAUCCUUUCCUUCAUGUUUCCUUGGAACUGCCAUUUCAAAGUUACACAUUAUUCUGCCACUUCCACAGGCUUUCUCAGGUGGCAUUUCAACUGGUGCCAUGACCUAUAGCUUCAUUGAGGCUGUGCAGAAUGAGCAUGGAUUAACAUAUGGCCGUUUACUUCAAUCCUUACGCAGUAAAAUUGUUGAGGCCCAGAAACAUCUAUAUGGUCCUUACACACCUACAUGGGCAUCACAGGUACCUCAACUCUCCUGUACUGAGGAAUUUGACAUUCACUCAAAACAGUUCAUUAUAUAAAUCAUAUUUAGCCAAGCUCUGUAAACUUAGUAGCUACAAGCCUACAAGUUAUAAAUGUCAAUGACUAAAAUCUUCUCAUUAUCAGCUGAUAAUAGAGCAGUUAUUUUACUUCCAUGAAACCAUGAGGCGGCAAACUUUUAAUUCAUAUAAGGUUGUACUUUUAACUGCGCCCACGAAAUAAUUAGGCUAAAUCUAUAUUUUUGUCUUCUAUUUUUAUAUUUUUCUUAUAUGAUCAUUUGAAUUUUUUAUUAUUUUGUUUAUACCCUUAAAUUUAUAUUUUUGAAUCAAUUUAAUCCUUAUACUUUGAAUUUUUUUUUUUUGUGGCAAUCCAAACUUUUCAUUAUUUUAAUUACACCUCUAAAUUUAUAUUUUUGAAUCAAUUUG